AUUGAACGCUGGCGGCAGGCUUAACACAUGCAAGUCGAACGAGUGGCGGACGGGUGAGUAAUGUCUGGGAAACUGCCUGAUGGAGGGGGAUAACUACUGGAAACGGUAGCUAAUACCGCAUACCAUCGGAUGUGCCCAGAUUGGAUUAGGUAUUGGGUGGGGUAAAGGCUUACCUAGGCGACGAUCCCUAGCUGGUCUGAGAGGAUGACCAGGCACACUGGAACUGAGACACGGCCCAGUCUCCUACGGGAGGCAGCAGAGGGGAAUAUUGCACAAAGGGGGCAAGCCUGAUGCAGCCAUGCCGCGUGUAUGAAGAAGGCCUUCGGGUUGUAAGAUGCUUUCAGCCGGGAGGCGUUACCUGCAGAAUAAGCACCGGCUAACUCCGUGCCAGCAGCCGCGGUAAUAC
rnacentral:rRNA from 1 species